GAUGAACGCUGGCGGCGUGCUUAACACAUGCAAGUCGAACGAGAAGUGAAGACGGAAACCUUCGGGCGGAAGGCUUUAUUUCGAGUGGCGGACGGGUGAGUAACGCGUGGGUAACCUGCCUCAUACAGGGGGAUAACAGUUGGAAACGACUGUUAAUACCGCAUAAGACCACAGCACCGCAUGGUGCGGGGGUAAAAACUCCGGUGGUAUGAGAUGGACCCGCGUUCGAUUAGCCAGUUGGCGGGGUAACGGCCCACCAAAGCGACGAUCGAUAGCCGAUCUGAGAGGAUGACCGGCCACAUUGGGACUGAGACACGGCCCAAACUCCUACGGGAGGCAGCAGUGGGGAAUAUUGCACAUUGGGGGAAACCCUGAUGCAGCGACGCCGCGUGAGUGAAGAAGUAUUUCGGUAUGUAAAGCUCUAUCAGCAGGGAAGAAAAUGACGGUACCUGAGUAAGAAGCCCCGGCUAACUACGUG
rnacentral:rRNA from 1 species